CCUACGGGUGGCAGCAGUGGGGAAUAUUGGACAAUGGGGGGAACCCUGAUCCAGCCAUGCCGCGUGUGUGAAGAAGGCCCUCGGGUUGUAAAGCACUUUCAGUGAGGAAGAACGCCUGGUGGUUAAUACCCAUCAGGAAAGACAUCACUCACAGAAGAAGCACCGGCUAACUCCGUGCCAGCAGCCGCGGUAAUACGGAGGGUGCGAGCGUUAAUCGGAAUUACUGGGCGUAAAGCGCGCGUAGGUGGCUUGAUAAGCCGGUUGUGAAAGCCCCGGGCUCAACCUGGGAACGGCAUCCGGAACUGUCAAGCUAGAGUGCAGGAGAGGAAGGUAGAAUUCCCGGUGUAGCGGUGAAAUGCGUAGAGAUCGGGAGGAAUACCAGUGGCGAGGGCGGCCUUCUGGACUGACACUGACACUGAGGUGCGAAAGCGUGGGUAGCUAACAGGAUUAGAUACCCUAGUAGUC
rnacentral:rRNA from 1 species